AUUGAACGCUGGCGGCAUGCUUUACACAUGCAAGUCGAACGGUAACAGGCCGCAAGGUGCUGACGAGUGGCGAACGGGGGAGUAAUGCAUCGGAACGUGCCCAGUCGUGGGGGAUAACUACUCGAAAGAGUAGCUAAUACCGCAUACGAUCUAUGGAUGAAAGCGGGGGACCGGAAGGCCUCGCGCGAUUGGAGCUGCCGAUGUGAGAUUAGGUAGUGGGGGGGGGAAAGGCGCACCAAGCCAACGAACUGGAGCGGGUCUGAGAGGACGACAAGCCACACGGGGACUGAGACACGGCCCAGGCUCCUACGGGAGGCAGCAGUGGGGAAUUUUGGACAAUGGGCGCGAGCCUGAUACAGCAAUGCCGAGUGCAGGAAGAAGGCCUUCGGGUUGUAAACUGCUUUUGUGCGGAACGAAACGGCUCUGGUUAAUACCCGGGGCUAAUGACGGUACCGUAAGAAUAAGCAACGGCUAACUACGUG
rnacentral:rRNA from 1 species